rnacentral:misc_RNA from 1 species
UCAAACUUGGUCAUUUAGAGGAAGUAAAAGUCGUAACAAGGUUUCCGUAGGUGAACCUGCGGAAGGAUCAUUAUUGAAUUAAUAAAAGUGGGCUUUCAAGUGGGAGGCUGAUGCUGAUGGGUAAAACCAUAUGUGCUCGCCGCCUGCGAGGGGGUUCAUUUCUUUAUUAACCUUUUCCACCUGUGCACUUUUGUAGAUAUUGAAGGUCAUCUCUCAGGCAGCAAUGCUUGGUUUGGAGUUUGCUGGAUUCAUUCAUUUGAAGUCAGCUUUCUCUGUCGAUCAUCAAUGUCUAUUUUACAUAUACCCUUGAUUAAAGUUAAAGAAGGUGUUGAUUGGGCUUUUAAUGGCCUAUAAAUCAAUUAUACAACUUUCAGCAACGGAUCUCUUGGCUCUCGCAUCGAUGAAGAACGCAGC